UACGUAGGGUGCAAGCGUUAAUCGGAAUUACUGGGCGUAAAGCGUGCGCAGGCGGCUCUAUAAGACAGAUGUGAAAUCCCCGGGCUCAACCUGGGAACUGCAUUUGUGACUGUAGAGCUGGAGUGCGGCAGAGGGGGAUGGAAUUCCGCGUGUAGCAGUGAAAUGCGUAGAUAUGCGGAGGAACACCGAUGGCGAAGGCAAUCCCCUGGGCCUGCACUGACGCUCAUGCACGAAAGCGUGGGGAGCAAACAGG
rnacentral:rRNA from 1 species